GGAAGGAAGAGUGAAACGCAGAAAGAGUGAGAGACAGAAGGAGAGAAGGAGAGAAGAAAAAGAAAAAAAAAACAACAAAAACAUUGAUAAAUACAAGAAAAGAGAAAGGAAAAGUGCAAUUCUUGCAAGAAGUCAAGAUAGAAAGAAUUGAGUACCAUCAUCUUAUUUGUUAUUUUGGAAGUCAAGAGGUAAAAAGGCUUAGAUCAAGAGUUGGAGAAAUGAAGCAUAUCAGUUUAUACUAUAGCUUGCUUAAAAAUUCUAAGGAAUUAUUUUGAGCCAUGGAUGUAUUAUGUACUCCAUUUUAUUUUUUUUUUGCAUUUUUUUUGAAUGAUUAGUAUGUGUAUUAAUACAUUUGCAUGACUUUGUGUCGAGAUUUGUAUUAAUUAUCUCUUUUGUCGAAUUAUGCUAAUGCUCAAGUUAUAUUCUAGACAAGUAACUUAUGGUACUA